GUGCUUACUUCAGCAGCACAUAUACUAAAAUUGGAACAUUUCAGAGAAGAUUAGCAUGGAUGACACGCAAAUUCGUGAAGUGUUCCAUAUUUUU
rnacentral:snRNA from 1 species